AGAGUUUGAUCUUGGCUCAGAUUGAACGCUGGCGGCAUGCUUUACACAUGCAAGUCGAACGGCAGCGCGGGGCAACCUGGCGGCGAGUGGCGAACGGGUGAGUAAUAUAUCGGAACGUACCCAGAAGUGGGGGAUAACGUAGCGAAAGUUACGCUAAUACCGCAUACGAUCUACGGAUGAAAGUGGGGGACCUUCGGGCCUCAUGCUUUUGGAGCGGCCGAUAUCUGAUUAGCUAGUUGGUGAGGUAAAGGCUCACCAAGGCGACGAUCAGUAGCUGGUCUGAGAGGACGACCAGCCACACUGGGACUGAGACACGGCCCAGACUCCUACGGGAGGCAGCAGUGGGGAAUUUUGGACAAUGGGCGCAAGCCUGAUCCAGCAAUGCCGCGUGAGUGAAGAAGGCCUUCGGGUUGUAAAGCUCCUUUGUCAGGGAAGAAACGGUUGGGGCUAAUAUCCCCGGCUAAUGACGGUACCUGAAGAAUAAGCACCGGCUAACUACGUGCCAGCAGCCGCGGUAAUACGUAGGGUGCAAGCGUUAAUCGGAAUUACUGGGCGUAAAGCGUGCGCAGGCGGUUUUGUAAGUCUGUCGUGAAAGCCCCGGGCUCAACCUGGGAAUUGCGAUGGAGACUGCAAGGCUUGAAUCUGGCAGAGGGGGGUAGAAUUUCACGUGUAGCAGUGAAAUGCGUAGAGAUGUGAAGGAACACCGAUGGCGAAGGCAGCCCCCUGGGUCAAGAUUGACGCUCAUGCACGAAAGCGUGGGGAGCAAACAGGAUUAGAUACCCUGGUAGUCCACGCCCUAAACGAUGUCUACUAGUUGUCGGGUUUUAAUUAACUUGGUAACGCAGCUAACGCGUGAAGUAGACCGCCUGGGGAGUACGGUCGCAAGAUUAAAACUCAAAGGAAUUGACGGGGACCCGCACAAGCGGUGGAUGAUGUGGAUUAAUUCGAUGCAACGCGAAAAACCUUACCUACCCUUGACAUGGAAGGAAUCCUGGAGAGAUCCGGGAGUGCCCGAAAGGGAACCUUCACACAGGUGCUGCAUGGCUGUCGUCAGCUCGUGUCGUGAGAUGUUGGGUUAAGUCCCGCAACGAGCGCAACCCUUGUCAUUAGUUGCUACGCAAGAGCACUCUAAUGAGACUGCCAGUGACAAACCGGAGGAAGGUGGGGAUGACGUCAAGUCAUCAUGCCCCUUAUGUCCAGGGCUACACACGUGCUACAUUGGCGCCUACAGAGGGAUGCAAUACCGCGAGGUGGAGCAAAUCCCAAAAAGGGCGUCUCGGUUCGGAUUGGAGGCUGCAACUUGCCUCCAUGAAGGUGGAGUUGCUAGUAAUCGCGGAUCAGCAACGCCGCGGUGAAUACGUUCCCGGGCCUUGUACACACCGCCCGU
rnacentral:rRNA from 1 species